UCUCUGUUUCCUAACUCAUCUCUGUUUCACUUCACCUUAAAUGUUGUUAAAUGCCGUUUCUCAACGUCGGUAAAGCUGGAAUAAAACGGCGUCUAUGCAGUUUACACAACGACGCAUUCGUCGUAAUUCAACGACACAUUUAACCCGCUUAACAUCAGUAGUUAUAAAACUGGUGUAAAAUAGAAUGUGUAAAUGUAGUAAAUGUCCGUAAAAUAGUAAUAAAAUAUUACAGAAAAGUGUGAGUUUUGGGUCCGACAUAAACAACUGUAAACUACCUCGGUAGAAGGUAAACACAGGUAAACAUGACUACUUCCAAAAAGGAAAAUGUUUUGAAACGAAAACUAGUCGACCAUGGAAGCGAUUCCGAAGAUGAAAAUAGUAAGAAUGAUAAAGAACCAAAGCAAAGGAUGGAGGCUCCGCGAUUGUGUCCAUAUUUAGAUACAAUAAAUCGACAAUUUUUAGACUUUGAUUUUGAAAAACUUUGUUCUGUAUCUUUAUCCCGAAUCAAUGUCUAUGCCUGCCUAGUUUGUGGUAAAUAUUUCCAAGGAAGAGGAACAAAUACACAUGCAUAUACACAUAGUGUAGCGGAAAGCCAUCAUGUUUUUUUAAAUCUUCACACUUUAAAGUUUUACUGCCUACCAGACAACUAUGAGAUUGUGGAUUCGUCCCUGGAUGACAUCAAAUACGUUUUAAAUCCAACAUUUGACAAAGCACAAAUUGCACAAUUAGAUAAAAGUGAUAAAUUGUCCAGAGCAAUCGAUGGAUCUAUGUAUUCUCCUGGGAUUGUAGGCAUGAAUAACAUCAAAGCUAAUGAUUAUUGUAACGUUGUCUUGCAAGGUUUGUCCCAUGUUACCCCACUGAGAGAUUUCUUUUUACGUGAAUCAAAUUACUUACACGUAAAGAGACCACCAGGUGAUUCAUCGUAUCUCUUAGUACAAAGAUUCGGGGAAUUAAUGAGGAAAUUGUGGAAUCCUCGAAAUUUCAAAGCACAUGUCAGUCCUCACGAAAUGCUACAAGCGGUUGUCUUGUGGAGUAAAAAAAGAUUUCAAUUUACGGAGCAAGGAGAUCCUGUGGACUUUUUAUCAUGGUUUUUAAAUGCCCUUCACUUGGCACUAAAUGGCACAAAGAAACGUGAUUCUAGUAUUAUUUAUAAGACAUUUCUGGGACAUAUGCGAAUUUACACUCGCAAAAUCCCACCUCUUGAAUUAGAAGAGAGUCAAAGAAGCGAAUUGCUUAACACUGUUGAAUAUGGAGAAACGGUAACGGAGAGCCCAUUUCUCUACCUAACAUGUGAUCUUCCACCUCCACCAUUGUUUAAGGACCAGUUUACUGAAAACAUUAUUCCACAAGUGAAUUUGUAUACAUUACUAAAUAAAUUUAAUGCAGUGACAGAGAAAGAAUACAAAACGUACAAAGAAAAUUUUAUGAAAAGAUUUGAAAUAACCGAGUUACCACCCUAUCUUAUUCUGUACAUAAAGCGGUUCACAAGAAAUACAUUUUUCGUGGAGAAAAAUCCCACCAUUGUCAAUUUCCCAGUCAAGAAUGUGGACUUUGGCGAUAUUUUAACGCCUGAAGUAAAAGCACGUCAUACUUAUACAACUUACGAUUUGGUAGCAAAUAUCGUUCAUGAUGGGGAACCUGGUCAGGGUACUUACAGAGUACAUAUAUUGCAUCGGGCAACCGGUCAAUGGUACGAAUUACAGGACCUUCACGUAACUCAGAUCUUACCGCAAAUGAUAACACUAACAGAAGCUUACAUCCAGAUUUACGAAUUACGCAAAGAAGUUAAUACAGAAAAUGGUGACAGUCAAAUAAAACGAAAUACAUGAUAUAGAGAAACCAGUUACGUACUUCUGUAUUGAAACAGCUGUUGCACCAAAAAAACUGCCAGCUUGUCGAAGAAUGGGAAUAAAGAAGCAAAAUAUGAAAUCAGCAUUUGUAAGAAGGCGUUUCAAGCCAUUAGCUCUGGGAUACGUUAAAGUUGUGGUCUGGAGCAUUUAUAUCGACUAACAUGCAAGAAGGCAACUGUCAAGAAUGGAAAGUAAAACAGAUAUGGAGCAAACCGUUAUAAAUAAAGACAAAAUCGGCCAAUUUAAAUAUACACA
rnacentral:misc_RNA from 1 species